AAACACACCUCCAAGACUGAAGUCUCGUUUUUCUAACGAGCAACAGACAAACACGUGCCAAUCGGCAUGUUCAUUUGCUCUUUAAGUGGAGAGGAUGGAGGAGAUUGGAAAGAAUAUUGCAGAAGGAAGAAAAAGGAUGGGGUUCCACAUGCCCCCCUUCUCCUCAGUCCCUCAUCUCCAAGUCAUCGCUCCUGCCAGUCAGAUGAGCAUCAGGUCACUCAGUCACUAUGGGCCGCAAUCCUAUUGGUUCAUUACCGUGAGUGGAGCAGUAACCCCUCCCACUUCACCAUUGGGGGUUCUUCAUUUUUAUGUCUAUGUUUACCACAUUCAAAUGUGUCUUUGCUCUAUUGUUGAUGGACAGAGUGGUUCAGCAGCUGAGGACCCAUAACCAGGUCAAAUAAGAAUAUACCUGGUUUAGCAGGACACAACAGCACUGGGCUUCCAAGAUCCAUGUCACAACUCUGACAUGGCUGGCAGUGGCUGCAUUCCCGCCUUAUACUUGACAUGCACGCUCACUAAUCUGAAGGACUGGUUUAGUUCUAUUUAUGUGUUUUUACUAAACCUCUGUAUUUUUGUAAGUUCUGAUGGGGUGUUACGAUAUGCAUUUAUUAUUAUACACUAAGGGAUAGUACACUAAGGGGGGGGGGGGCUUGUACAACUCAAGGUGUCAACAACAACAAAAAAUGCACCGCUCUCCCCAAUGUAAAAAAUAUUUUCACAUGACACUCCCCUUGUACUGUAAAACAAAAAUUGCACACCCUCCCCCCUCAUAGAAUUAACUCUAAAGAAUGUUUAC